rnacentral:lncRNA from 1 species
AGCCUGGAGGGCAAGGGUAUUUCUGAGAAGUAGUAUAUGUCCAGAGAGUGCUCCCCAGCUGUUAGGAGGCCAGCUGGGAGUUAGUCUCUGUGACUUUGUUACCAAUAUCACCAACAAAGGGAUUUAGGAAGCAGCAAAUAUGAGGAAGACAGAAAUGCACAAAGUUAGCACCGCAACAGAUCUCUGAGGAUUUCUAGUUAAGGAGUCUGGGUGUGUUUGUUUGUUUGUUUGUUUAAGGAAUUUGUAUUCCCACCACCAAGAAUUAACCGUGGCUAGCAUUGGGUCAUAUCUGCUUCCCAUAUAUAAAUAAAAUGUUUUAGAGAAAGUUGAAGAUUUUUUUCCCCUUUGCCCCUCACUCCCUGCUCUUUCCUUUUCUCCCUCCAGAGACACCCACCAUUGAGAGAAUCAGCCAGUUGCGCCAGCGUCCAGGGUCAAUGAAGCAUGGGAUGUGGGACGACUGGAGUGUCAAUAUUUCCCAGCUCCUCUUCCUGUUCCGUGCACCUGCCAGGGCGGGACCUUGUGGAGCUGGCCUUCUACUUUCCUGAAACAGGCAACCAAAGCCAAAGGUGUGUUCUGUGGUCGGGGCGGGGGGCUGGUUUCACUUCUGAUUCUGCUGUUUUGUCUUUGUAGUGUUUUCACAGAUAAUGAAAGUGUUUAGACAGGUUCACUGUCAGUUAUUAAAGAAAAGUGCACUGGUUUCUUCACAUGGAAUGAAUAGCUUCCCACCGGGUUACUCCACUCUGCU